rnacentral:rRNA from 1 species
CCUACGGGUGGCAGCAGUGGGGAAUAUUGCACAAUGGGGGAAACCCUGAUGCAGCCAUGCCGCGUGUGUGAAGAAGGCCUUCGGGUUGUAAAGCACUUUCAGUGGUGAGGAAGGAUGUAAGAUUAAUACUCUUGCAUAUUGACGUUAGCCACAGAAGAAGCACCGGCUAACUCCGUGCCAGCAGCCGCGGUAAUACGGAGGGUGCAAGCGUUAAUCGGAAUUACUGGGCGUAAAGCGUACGUAGGCGGCUUGUUAAGCAAGAUGUGAAAGCCCCGGGCUCAACCUGGGAAUGGCAUUUUGAACUGGCAGGCUCGAGUUCUGAAGAGGGUGGUAGAAUUUCCUGUGUAGCGGUGAAAUGCGUAGAUAUAGGAAGGAAUACCGGUGGCGAAGGCGGCCACCUGGUCAGAAACUGACGCUGAGGUACGAAAGCGUGGGGAGCA